AUUGAACGCUGGCGGCAUGCCUUACACAUGCAAGUCGAACGGUAACGGACCUUCGGGUGCCGACGAGUGGCGAACGGGUGAGUAAUGUAUCGGAACGUACCUUUCAGUGGGGGAUAACGUAGCGAAAGUUACGCUAAUACCGCAUAUUCUGUGCGCAGGAAAGCAGGGGACCUUCGGGCCUUGCGCUGAUUGAGCGGCCGAUAUCAGAUUAGCUAGUUGGUGAGGUAAAGGCUCACCAAGGCGACGAUCUGUAGCGGGUCUGAGAGGAUGAUCCGCCACACUGGAACUGAGACACGGUCCAGACUCCUACGGGAGGCAGCAGUGGGGAAUUUUGGACAAUGGGGGCAACCCUGAUCCAGCCAUGCCGCGUGAGUGAAGAAGGCCUUCGGGUUGUAAAGCUCUUUCGGCCGGGAAGAAAUCGUAUCAGCUAAUACCUGGUGCGGAUGACGGUACCGGCAUAAGAAGCACCGGCUAACUCCGUGCCAGCCGCCGCCGUAAAAC
rnacentral:rRNA from 1 species